UUUAUUUCUUUUUUCCUUUUCUUUUUCCUUUUAUCUUCAUCAUUUCCAAACUUUCACUUUAAAAACCCUAACUUUUACCAUUCUCCACGCUGCCGCCAUCGCCGCUAGCUAACGUUGCUGUUCAACACCCCCACCAUAUCAAACCAACACGUCACGGCGUCAAUUCGCCGCUCCUUUUCUACUAGCUGCACCCCAUCGCACCAAACCGACCCCAAACACCACCGUUUGCGCUUUCCUUUCUCCGUGCACGACAAACAUUUGCGUCUCUCCACCACCAAGCCUUCACGCAUAAAAAAGCCACCUCUUCAAACCCCAACCACCACACUUUAACUCCAAAAAACCUAAACCCCCACUACAACCUCCAUAAACGUCGCCGUUUCUAAAACCACGAUCACCACCUUUCGAACACCGUCUUGACCCACAUCGCCACCGCCCGAAUGUUGUGAGCCACUGUCAUCGUUUGUCGUAGCAAGCCGCCAUCAUAAGCAACUAUAAAUAGAUACCAUCAUUUACUUUUUAAUCCCGAACGUAGGCCAUGGUUUGCACUAGAAACCAAUCGGUCGACGAGUUCCCGAUUUCUCUUUAUCGAGGUUGAAACCAACUUUCAGGACUAUCAGUCAUCGACAUUUACGACGAAGACUCAGAACCAUCUUCACCACUAUCAAUACAUGUUGUUGGACUGAGUCAACACCAACGUCAAAGAAGUUCGACAUCGAUCGAAAUGGAAGACCUAUAAGUUCAUUCGAACGCUUCUGACGAAAUAAGGUCGUUCAGACGGAACCUGCACUUUAGAUUACAAUGACACAGAACCAUCAAAUCAAAACGAGCAAUCACCUUUGUGCCAAACAAGGUCAACCACUGCACGUUCUAGACGGCAACCACCACACCAGCAAAGAGAAGAGCCAGAUUUAACCCCGAACAACAGUAUUGAGGCUGCUGAUAUGUAGUGUCUGCCAAACAGUUCGUCCGAAGAGGUGUACCAACCUCCAAGAAAUAAUAGGCGCGAGCAGCGAGGGCGUACCUACAUGAUGUCGCCAAAAAAGAGAUUUCAGGGAUUUUUGAAUUUCAAAACCUUGGGACACCGUAUGAGAUACAAGGAAAUUCAACAUCAUCUUAUCCUUGUUUGUGAAUAUAUCUUUUACUUUACCCUUGAUACGUGAUUCUGUGUUUAAUUAUUUCGAUGCUAUUGGUUGGAUAUUGUAUGCGAAUAUUUACCGUGCUACUUUUUUUGAGCUUGUAUAUGAAUUUUAUGGAACGUUUAGUUUCAAUAAAAUUACGGUUAUGAUUGUUGAAA